rnacentral:rRNA from 1 species
AAAACGACUCUCGGCAACGGAUAUCUCGGCUCUCGCAUCGAUGAAGAACGUAGCSAAAUGAGAUACUUGGUSUGAAUUGCARAAUCCCGUGAACCAUCGAUUCUUUGAACGCAAKUUGCGCCCCAAGCCGUUAGGCCGAGGGCACGCCUGCCUGGGUGUCACSC